rnacentral:rRNA from 1 species
CCUACGGGAGGCAGCAGUGAGGAAUAUUGGUCAAUGGCCGGAAGUCUGAACCAGCCAUGCCGCGUGCAGGACGACGGUUCUAUGCAUUGUAAACUUCUUUUGUACGGGGGCAAACUCAGGUUCGAGUAUCUGUCUGAAAGUAUCUUACGAAUAAGCAUCGGCUAACUCCGUGCCAGCAGCCGCGGUAAUACGGAGGAUUCAAGCGUUAUCCGGAUUUAUUGGGUUUAAAGGGUGCGUAGGCGGUCUGAUAAGUUAGAGGUGAAAUCCCGGGGCUCAACUUCGGAAGUGCCUCUGAUACUGUUCGUCUAGAGAGUACGAGCGGUAGGCGGAAUGUAUGGUGUAGCGGUGAAAUGCUUAGAGAUCAGACAGAACACCGAUUGCGAAGGCAGCUUAC